CCCUUCUCCCAUUUUUUGUCUCGGCUGGAAUUUCCAUGUCGUUUUGGGGAAGAAAAACCGAUGAGAGGAGAGGGAAGAUUUCUGUUUUGUGGGAAGUUUGGAAACCUCUUUCUAGAAAUGAAUGGAUUUUGGGUGGUGUUUAUGCAUCGGUCUACAAAAUGAGAUUCUGAAAAUCUUUCUCCAUAAAGUGAAUUGUCUUUACCCCUGACGCUUCUCCUGAGACCUCUUAUUCGGUGAGUGAAUUGACAAGAGGGGUGUUAGAUAAGGGAUUUCG
rnacentral:lncRNA from 1 species